CGCUAAGAAGCUAAACUGGACAUAGCGUUAGCCUUUUAAGCUAAAGAUUGGUGGCCUCCGCCCACCCCUAGCGA
rnacentral:tRNA from 1 species